CAAAGCAAUCAAUCAACUGAGUAUUAAGGCAAUGCAAAUCAGUUUUAUUUUGUUUCCUUUUGGCUUUGGCAAAUAUGCACAAAAUUGUCACUUACGGUAACUUUAUUAAACAGCCAAAAAGACAAUGAAGAUGAAGCUUUGUCCUAUUAUAAAAUAAAAUAUAUUGCUUUACGAUUGCUUAUCCUGUGAUGCAUGGGUAGGGCCAAAUGUCCAAGACCAUACCCAAGUUAUGCAUAUAGGGGG